CCUACGGGGGGCAGCAGUGGGGAAUUUUGGACAAUGGGCGCAAGCCUGAUCCAGCAAUGCCGCGUGCAGGAAGAAGGCCUUCGGGUUGUAAACUGCUUUUGUCAGGGAAGAAAUCCUCUGGGUUAAUACCUCGGGGGGAUGACGGUACCUGAAGAAUAAGCACCGGCUAACUACGUGCCAGCAGCCGCGGUAAUACGUAGGGUGCGAGCGUUAAUCGGAAUUACUGGGCGUAAAGCGUGCGCAGGCGGUUAUAUAAGACAGAUGUGAAAUCCCCGGGCUCAACCUGGGACCUGCAUUUGUGACUGUAUAGCUAGAGUACGGUAGAGGGGGAUGGAAUUCCGCGUGUAGCAGUGAAAUGCGUAGAUAUGCGGAGGAACACCGAUGGCGAAGGCAAUCCCCUGGACCUGUACUGACGCUCAUGCACGAAAGCGUGGGGAGCAAACAGGAUUAGAUACCCCAGUAGUC
rnacentral:rRNA from 1 species